UCAACGGAGAGUUUGAUCCUGGCUCAGGACGAACGCUGGCGGCGUGCUUAACACAUGCAAGUCGAACGGUGACCCUCGAAGCUUGCUUCGAGGUGAUCAGUGGCGAACGGGUGAGUAACACGUGAGUAACCUGCCCCAGACUCUGGGAUAACCCCGGGAAACCGGAGCUAAUACCGGAUAUGACACGGAGAGGCAUCUCCACCGUGUGGAAAGUUUUU
rnacentral:rRNA from 1 species